UGCUAACACAUGCAAGUCGAGCGAUGCGAUCCUUCGGGAUCAAUUAGCGGCGGACGGGUGAGUAACACGUGGGUAACCUGCCUCAAAGAGGGGAAUAGCCUCCCGAAAGGGAGAUUAAUACCGCAUAAUAUGUUUUAGUCACAUGGCUUUAACAUCAAAGGAUUUCUUCGGAAAUCCACUUUGAGAUGGACCCGCGGCGCAUUAGCUAGUUGGUGAGGUAACGGCUCACCAAGGCGACGAUGCGUAGCCGACCUGAGAGGGUGAUCGGCCACAUUGGAACUGAGACACGGUCCAGACUCCUACGGGAGGCAGCAGUGGGGAAUAUUGCGCAAUGGGGGAAACCCUGACGCAGCAACGCCGCGUGAAUGAUGAAGGCCUUCGGGUUUGUAAAGUUCUGUCUUCUGGGACGAUAAUGACGGUACCAGAGGAGGAAGCCACGGCUAACUACGUGCCAGCAGACGCGGUAAUACGUAGGUGGCAAGCGUU
rnacentral:rRNA from 1 species